AGACGAGAACGACAGACUGGUGAUGAAUCACUGGGCGUAAAGGAAAUGAAGUAGUGAGAAUACUGAACAUUACUGGACAAGCUGCAGCUGUUAAGAGCUAGAGAUAUCAUCUUGAAACUGGAAGCCCAGUGUACUACGGCCCUCUUCCACUCCACUUGCUGCUCCGUCGCAGGUUAAACUGGAGCCUCUUGUUCCUCCAUCUCAUCUCUUCAACCCACCUCCUAAAGUCCAUCCUACCAACACUCUGACCACUAAGGCUUACUCUCCACCUGAACUGAGGUCUCUGCCCAAACCUGGCCCUCCACCCUCAGGGCUGAAAUCACAGGACCACAGAGGGGCGUUUGUAGACCAACAGGUGACGGAAGCCAUUAAGUAGCAAUCAAUCAAAUGUACACCGACUAUACCAAACAUUAGGAACACCUUCCUAAUAUUGAGUUGCACCUCCUUUUGCCUCCACAACAUCCUUAAUCCGUCGGGACAUGGACUCUACAAGUUGCCGAAAGCCUUCCACAGGGAUGCUGGCCCCAUGUUGACUCUAAUGCUUCCCACAGUCGUGUCACGUUGGCUGGAUGUCCUUUUUGGGUGGUGGACCAUUCUUGAUACACACAGGGGAAACUGUUGAGUGUGAAAAACCCAGCAGCGUUGCAGUUCUUGACACAAACCGUUGCGCCUGACACCUACUACCCAUGUUCAAAGGCAGUUUUGUCUUGCCCCAUUCACACUCUGAAUAGCACACAUACACAAGCCAUGUCUCAUGGCUUAAAAAUCCGUCUUUAACCCGUCUCCCCCCCUUCAUCUACACUGAUUUUGAAGUGACAUCAAUAAGGGAUCAUAGCUUGGAUUCACCUGGUCAGUCUGUCAUGGAAAGAGCAGGUGUUCUUAAUGUUUUGUAUAAUCAGUGUAUUUUAAUAAAACCCCUUUUUUUCAGUGUUGACGGAUCAGAUUGAAUUUUUUGCCAAUAAUUGGGCUGCUUGUGUAAACGCAGCCUUUGAAAGAGGAGCCGGUAUGAGAGAGGAACUACAGUCACUAUUGUUAGACUCGUUUUUUUUAGAUUCAGAUGUAAAAAGCAGAAUGAAAUAGUUGACUCCCGGAAAUGGUUCGAGAGCGAAACAAUAAAACAGAACUGACACACAGAUAUAUAUUUAGAACAGUUGUAUUUCUCUGGUAGCCCGGCGGUCUCCGAUGACUACUCGUUCCAGUAGUAGUAGUAGUUCACGGUUACUGACACCGGUAGUAGUUCACGGUUACUGACACCGGUAGUAGUAGUAGUAGUAGUUCACGGUUACUGACACCGGUAGUAGUAGUAGUAGUAGUAGUAGUAGUUCACGGUUACUAACACCGGUAGUAGUAGUAGUCGUUCAAGGUUACUAACACCGGUAGUUAGUUCACGGGUUACUAACACCGUAGUAGUCGUAGUAGUAAGUUUCACGGUUACUAACACCGGUAGUCGUAGUAGUAGUAGUGUUCCCGGUUACUAACAACGGGGUAUAGUAGUAGUAGUUCCGGUUACUCACACCUGGUAGUAGUAGUCGUUGUUCACGGUACUAACACCGGUAGUAGUAGUAGUAGUUCACGGUUACUACACCGGUAGUAAGUGUAGUAGUAGUAGUAGAGUCCGGUUACUAACACCGGUAGAAAGUAGUAGUUGUUCACGGUUAUCUAAACACCGGUAGCUAGUGUAGUAGUAGUUUCACGUUACUAACACCGGUAGUAGUAGUAGUAGUAGUAGUAGUUCACCCCCGGUUACUAACACGUAGUAGUAGUUACGCGUUACUAACACCUGUCGUAGUAGUUCACGGUGUUUACUAACCACCGGUAGUCGUAGUUCACGGUACUAAACACCGUAGUCGUAGUUCACGGUUACUAACACCGGUAGUCGUAGUUCCC
rnacentral:lncRNA from 1 species